AGAGUUUGAUCAUGGCUCAGAACGAACGCUGGCGGCAGGCCUAACACAUGCAAGUCGAACGCCCCGCAAGGGGAGUGGCAGACGGGUGAGUAACACGUGGGAACAUGCCCUUCGGUUCGGAAUAACUCAGGGAAACUUGAGCUAAUACCGGAUACGUCCGCGAGGAGAAAGAUUCAUCGCCGAAGGAUUGGCCCGCGUCCGAUUAGCUAGUUGGUGAGGUAAUGGCUCACCAAGGCGACGAUCGGUAGCUGGUCUGAGAGGAUGAUCAGCCACAUUGGGACUGAGACACGGCCCAAACUCCUACGGGAGGCAGCAGUGGGGAAUAUUGGACAAUGGGCGAAAGCCUGAUCCAGCCAUGCCGCGUGAGUGAUGAAGGCCCUAGGGUUGUAAAGCUCUUUCGUCAGGGACGAUAAUGACGGUACCUGAAGAAGAAGCCCCGGCUAACUUCGUGCCAGCAGCCGCGGUAAUACGAAGGGGGCUAGCGUUGUUCGGAAUCACUGGGCGUAAAGCGCACGUAGGCGGAUUGUUAAGUCAGGGGUGAAAUGCCAAGGCUCAACCUUGGAACUGCCUUUGAUACUGGCAAUCUCGAGUCCGGGAGAGGUGAGUGGAACUGCGAGUGUAGAGGUGAAAUUCGUAGAUAUUCGCAAGAACACCAGUGGCGAAGGCGGCUCACUGGCCCGGUACUGACGCUGAGGUGCGAAAGCGUGGGGAGCAAACAGGAUUAGAUACCCCGGUAGUCC
rnacentral:rRNA from 1 species